rnacentral:rRNA from 1 species
GAUGAACGCUGGCGGCGUGCCUAAUACAUGCAAGUCGAGCGAACAGACGAGAGUGCUUGCACUCUCUGACGUUAGCGGCGGACGGGUGAGUAACACGUGGGUAACCUACCUAUAAGACUGGGAUAACUUCGGGAAACCGGAGCUAAUACCGGAUAAUAUUUAGCUUCGCAUGAAGCAAUAGUGAAAGACGGUUCUGCUGUCACUUAUAGAUGGACCCGCGGUGUAUUAGCUAGUUGGUGAGGUAACGGCUCACCAAGGCAACGAUACAUAGCCGACCUGAGAGGGUGAUCGGCCACACUGGGACUGAGACACGGCCCAGACUCCUACGGGAGGCAGCAGUAGGGAAUCUUCCGCUAUGGACGAAAGUCUGACGGAGCAAUGCCGCGUGAGUGAAGAAGGUUUUCGGAUCGUAAAACUCUGUUGUAAGGGAAGAACAAGUACGUUAGUAACUGAACGUACCUUGACGGUACCUUACCAGAAAGCCACGGCUAACUACGU